rnacentral:ncRNA from 1 species
UUUGAUACUUGAGGGGAGUUAUUUCUAGUACGAGAGGACCGAAAUGAGGAAACCUCUAGUGUGCCUGUUGUCACUACAGUGGCAGCGCAGGGUAGCUACGUUUCUUAUAUGAUAAGCGCUGAAAGCAUCUAAGCACGAAGCAGACCCCAAGAUUAGGUAUCUUUUAGACCCCUGGUAGACUACCAGGUUGAUAGGCUUCCGGUGUAAGCACUGUAAGGUGUUUAGCCUAGAAGUACUAAUGGUUGA